ACGGAGACCCAUUAGAAAAAAAAUGAACACACCGCAACAACAACAAAAAAUAAAACAGAAGGAACAACAGAACAAAGAUGGUCAAGUAGAGGAAUACGGGACAGUCUUCCGUGGAAGCAGUAAGGUACCUAGAUCCCCGGUACUCAUCGCCACUCCAAAACAACCAGACAAAAAUGGGGAAAAGACAGCCUCAAGAGAGACUCCGAUCAUACAAGCAGCACCGGCAAAACAAGGAGAAGGAAGAGCACCCCCGCUGCCGCUAAAGAAGGAUCUCAAAACUCGCCGAAACAAGAGUACAUCACCCAAAUGAGACGAGCAGAAGAGGAAUUCCUAGAAAAGUGCAAGGAUGUAGUGCAAAAAAUUAAGUUGACGACGGCAAAACAAAAGAACGUCAGCAUGGACGUCAAGAAUGGAACGGCACAGCUAGACGAACUCUUCGACGUCAUAAAGAGCUACCGCAGAAACUGGCUCACUGCAGAAAACGAAAAACGGCGAUAGGGCCCGAUAGAAGAGGACAAGGUGUUUGCAUUAAAUGCGGCCAACAAAGGCACAAAUUGAAAGAGUGCACAAAGCCUCCUUCAUGGUGCCUUUGCGGAGAGGCUGAAAAAGCCGAUCACAUCCCGAGCUCCGCAAAGUGCACGGUAUAUAGGAACUACCGAAACAGAUGAAGAUCCUACAAGCCAACAUGCAUAGAUGCAAGGCCGCUGGCGCACUACUCUCACAAAUGGUGAUGGAGAACGACUACGAGAUAAUCAUCAUAAGCGAGCAAUACAAAAAGAAAGAGAGAGCUCAACCGCCGCUAUAUGGCUACCACCAGGGAGUAACGCCAGCACUGUAAGCAAUGGGAACGGCAACGGUUUUGUCUGGGCCAAGUGCGACCUUUUCACAGUAAUUAGCUGCUACUUGACGCCAAGCGAUAGUAUACAGGAAUUCCAAGAAAAGCUCGACAAUAUAGAGGACACAGCCAGGGCUAUAGAAGGUCAAUUGAUUAUCGCCGGAGAACUAAACUCCAGAGCCGUAGAGUGGGGCACCCAAACACUGACUCGAGAGGAAAGCGAAUUUUAGAAAUGGCUGCGCGGCUAGCUCUAGUAGUGCUCAAUACGGGAAAUGCAACCACGUUCAUAAGACCGGGAUGCGAGGAAACCACACCAGAUAUCACCCUAUCAACAGAACGCAUGGCAGGCUCGAUAAAAAAUUGAAAAGUCCUGGAAGACUACACUGGCAGCGAUCAUCACUACAUCUCUUUCAUGAUCGGCACUGGAAGAAACGCUUACCAGCUCAGAAAUAAUAGUGGAACACAAAAGUGGAAUAUUUCGAAACUGGACACAUCGAAAUAGAUCGCCGCAAUAGACGAGCAGAACCCACAUAACGACCCCUCCCUUAUAGCAAGAAAAUCAGUCGAGCACACAAUGUUUAAGAUAACCAAAGCCUGCCAAAAAGCAAUGUCUAAGGCUUCAAACGUAAAGCAGCAGUCUACUUGUGGGCCGAAAAUAUCGCCCAACUCAGACGCACAUGCCUUCGCCUUCGCAAAUCCUACACGAGAUCCAGGCGCAGAAAAGCCGCACCCCAAAAAGCCGAGCAUCGACGACAGUAAAAAGAAAAAAUGGGAGAAACUACGGAGGAUAUAAACAGAAACCCCUGGGGACUAGGGUAUAAAAUAGUGAUGAAAAAACUCGGCGCUCGAGCAAAGCCACCUGACGUAACCGCUGCCAAAAUGGAUCACAUCGUGAACGCACUAUUCCCCACACACAAAAUAAGGGGCAGUGAUCCAGAAGAAACUCUAAGUACUGCGCAAAUCCCCCAGUUCACACUUGAAGAGCUGAAAGUAACCACUGGCAAGCUCAAGGCCAACAAAUCACCCGGCCCGGACAAGAUCCCAGCAGAAGUCCUCAAAAUAAUCGCUGCAAAGCGCCCAGGAGUGCUACUGAAUAUGUUCAACGCCUGCCUUGAAGCCGGAAUAUUCCCUGAACCCUGGAAAAAGCAACGGCUGGUGCUAAUCAGUAAGGCAAAAGGAGACCCCAAUUCACCAUCAGCAUACCGUCCAUUAUGCAUGCUAGACACAGCGGAAAAGCUGUACGAAAGCCUACUUAAACCCUGACUCGAAGCGGCUAUCUACGAAGCUGGAGGACUGUCCCCUAGACAUUACGGCUUUAGAUCCGGCAGAUCAACCAUAGGAGCUAUAAAAUGCGUCAUAGGAAGCGUAGAAGCCGCACAACGCAGAUGGCAUAAAUACAAAAAAAUAGUGUUGCUGGCGACUCUAGAUGUCCGAAACGCCUUCAACAGCGCUAGAUGGGUAGAUAUGAUCGACGCCCUCGAGAAAAGUUUCAAGAUACCCGACUACCUCAGGGUUGUGGUGCGGAGCUACCUCAGUAACAGGAAACUGCUGUUCGAAACUAAAGAGGGACCACGGCAGAUAGCAGUCACGUCAGGGGCAGCACAAGGAUCCAUUCUAGGCCCAGACCUGUGGAACAUUAGUUAUGACGAAAUAUUAAAACUAUAAAUGCCAGAUGAAUCGUAUCUAAUUGGCUACGCGGACGACAUUGCAGCAGUAAUCAGAGCAAGGGAUACAGAAGAAGAACGGAAAAAGCUGAAUCAGGUCAUGAUACGGACGCAAGAUGGCUCGACACACACAACCUCCAGCUCGCUACGGAGAAAACAGAGCUACUGCUGCUAACAAACAAGCACAUACCUCUCGAGAUAAGCAUGCACACGACUACGGAUACUCUUAGGACACAGAGAGCAGUAAACUACCUAGGCGUAAGACUGGACCCCAGACUAACCUUCUGGGUAAAAAUCCAGCACGCCGCAGGUAAGGCAGCGAAGAUCACUUCUCAACUGAGCCGAUUAAUGGCUAACAUAGGAGGCCUCAGCCAAGAAAAGGGAAAGCUCCUAAUAUCGACGACAAUCAGCGUCCUAUUAUACGGAGCCGGAAUCUGGGCAGACGCGCUUAAAAAGGAAAACCGGUAUAAGGCAGUGGCCAGAGUGUACCGCACCGCAGCCCUCAGAGUUGCAUUUGCCUAUAGAACAGAAUCAGGCGACGCAAUAUUAGUUAUAAGCGGAAAUGCUCCAAUCGACUUUCUAGCAUACGAAAGGAAAAGGCUGUGGGAGCUAAAGAAAUCACCCGGCAAUAACAAGAGCGCAAUACAGCAAAUAAGGAAAGAUACGAUAACAUCAUGGCAACAAAGAUGGGAAAAUGAAAGUCGCGGCAGGUGGACGGCCAGGCUGAUGAAAGAUCUAGAUUUAUGGACAUAACCCAGCUGUUAUCCGGCCACGGAUACUUCAAAAAGUACCUUUACAGAGUGGCAAAAGUCGAAGAGCCGUCAUGUCUAUACAACGACUCCACAGAAGACGACGCUGAACACACUUUCUUUGAAUGUGAGCGCUGGCAAGAAGAACGCACCGCCGUAGAAGACCUGGUCGGCCCAAUAAACGCUGACAAUUUAAUCAGCGUCAUGUUGGAGAGCGAAACAAACUAAGGGAUUAUCCAUAAAUAUGCAGCACUCUUGCUACGACUCAAAAAGCGGGACCUGGACGCAGGUGUGCAGAUGUAAAUCUCUCAGCGAGAAAAAUGGAACGCCACCCUGAAGUAAUGCAAACGCGGUCCCAGGGUGGUUCCUUAGAGAGGGGGUUUUUAGUGAUCUGCAAGUGGCACAUACCGCUGCUGUGCACCGAUAGCACCGAUGAUGCGGAAGGCAUUUUCCACCCCCUCACCAGCAAAAAAGAAAAAAGUAUUAUAGUUUUGUUCACCUAACUGUUGUACGUAUCACCUAAAACUAAUCGAGAUAGAUAUAGGAUUAUACUUAUAUGCAUAUACAUGAUCAGGAUGACGAGAAAAGUUGAAACCUGGUUGACUGUCUGUCUGUUGGUAACUUGAGUAAAAAUUGAGAUAUCUUGAUGAAACAGGUAUACAGGCUCCAUAGUACAAACAAAAUUCGAGUUCGUAGAUGGCCGUAAUCGGACCACUGCCACGCCCACAAAUAGCCAUUAACCGAAAACCUUUUCUUACUUGUUUAUUUAUGAAUUUUCCUAUCUUUUAAGUUGGAUCAAACUUGACACAUGUAAAAUCGGUUCAGUAGUUAAGGAGCUUACCCCAGAAAGAAACGUCACACCCAAAUAAAAAAAAUUCUCGCGUCACGGUGUUCGUUGUCGAACUCCUCCUCCACUAAAAAUACCACUAAGUGUUCACGAUACCCCACUAUACUAUUAUUUUUUUCUACAAAAUUUUUUGUUUUCAUUUUUUUUUUUUUAUGCAUUGAAAAAUAAACACCAUUCUAAGUUUGCACCCUACACCAUCAUUCACUGAUUUUCAAUCGCAAUUUUUAUACUAUUGUGUUCUAUCGACAGAUCCACAAAAAGACAAUCAAAUAUAAUAAAUGUAUAAUUUUUGUCGAUUGGACAGACACACCGAAAUUUCAAUCGUUGGGCAUGCUUUCAUCCGACCAUAUUCUACAAAGAAGCUAUCAUCAGUUCUUCGCCGCCGUGCUUGAAUAGCUCUGUAUCGCCAUCGAUUAGGGAAUAGGGUUCGAAAUCUCUUGGUGUAAUGCUUUCACUGCCGUUCAGCAGGGUGGAGAAGUGUUCCCUCCAUAUUUUUAAUAUGCUCUUGGCAUCGAUUACUAGAUAACCUUUAGGGGUUCUACAAGAGUUUGCUCCGGUCUUGAAACCUUCUGUUAGUCGGCGCAUCUUUUCGUAGAUUCGAACAUUACUCCUGUCGGCCAGCUUGUCAAGCUCUUCAUACUCACGCAUUUCGGUUUCCCAAAUUUUUUUUUUUUGCAAAAACGCCUCGAUUCCCUUUUCAACUCUCGGUAUCUACCCCAUUCCGCACGUGUCGUAAUCAGUUGUAACGUUGCGAGGUAGGUUUUCUCUCCGCUGCGACACGGCACUCCUCGUCGUACCAGAUAUUAUUUUGCCUUGUCAGAAAACCAAUGGUUUAGUUUUCAGCUGUACGUAAGAUGCUUGAAAUGCCGCUCCACAGUUUCCUUAUACCGAGUUGCUGAUGAGUGCUCUCAGAAAGCAAGAAUACAAGCCGAGUAGAAAAGUGUUCGGCUGUCUGUUGUGAUUGCAACUUUUCGAUGUCGAACCUUCUUUGUGUUUGUUGACGUGCGUUUUUUCCUGCACAGAGGCGAGUGCGUAUCUUGGCUGCAACAAUAUAGUGGUCCGAGUCGAUGUUAGGACCUCGGAGCGCACGUACAUCUAAAACACUGGAGACGUAUCUUCCGUCUUUCACAACAUGAUCGAUCUGGUUGGUAGUUUUUCGAUCCCGAGACAGCCAGACCUCGGCGAAGUCUAUCAGCCUCAACACAUUUAGGGAAGUUUCAUCGUGGAGGCUGAAUUUAACGACCGUAGUGCCAAAGAUACCUUCUUUGCCCACCCUGGAGUUAAAGCCGACAAGCACGAUUUUAACAUCGUGGUGGUUCAGUUCUAAUAAGUGCCCUCCAAGCGCUCAUAAAAGGCAUCCUUUGUCUCAUCGUCUUUCUCUUCCGUCGGGGCAUGGGCGCAAAUCAGCGAUAUGUUGAAGGACUUCGAUUUGCGACGGCGUCCCUCUCUCACCAAGAAUUCCACACCAAAUUUGCGCUCCUUUAUGUGAACACUGUAGUAAAUGCCACAAAGACCUACUCGCAUCAGUCCUUGUCCCGUCCAUAUACUUUCCUUAAUGGUAGUGAUGUCAAUCUUCAGUCUAACGAGGACAUCAACCAGCUGGACAACGGCACCUUUCCAAUUAAGGGACCGGACAUUUCAGGUGCAUGCCCUCAAAUCGUAAUCCUUAACACGUUUGCAGGGGUUGUCAUCAAAAGGGAGGUCUUUAAUCCGAGGCUGUUUUUUACGUGGCGGGUCCCAAACCCAACGCACAAACCUGUGGAGGGAUGUGUCGGCCUCUCACUUUAGCUCGCCUUCAAAUGGAUGUUUUCUGGUUACCCAGAAGAUACUUGGUCAAUGACCGGAAGUCGUGAGCUCCUUGAGCCAUAUGUAAGAGAAUCCUUUCUGGACACUCCCAAGUGAAUAGCAAUCGGAGAACAUUUUUCUCAUUUGCGUGAACUUCUACACAUGACUCACCUCUUGCUAUGGAUUAUUUGUUUGGUUAUACAUUAGUUACCAUGUCUAUCGUAUCGUUUACCUCUUUCUUUAUAAAUAAAACAAUUUAAAUUCUUA